GACGAACGCUGGCGGCGUGCUUAACACAUGCAAGUCGAACGAAGAGCGAUGGAAGCUUGCUUCUAUCAAUCUUAGUGGCGAACGGGUGAGUAACGCGUAAUCAACCUGCCCUUCAGAGGGGGACAACAGUUGGAAACGACUGCUAAUACCGCAUACGAUCUAAUCUCGGCAUCGAGGAUAGAUGAAAGGUGGCCUCUACAUGUAAGCUAUCACUGAAGGAGGGGAUUGCGUCUGAUUAGCUAGUUGGAGGGGUAACGGCCCACCAAGGCGAUGAUCAGUAGCCGGUCUGAGAGGAUGAACGGCCACAUUGGGACUGAGACACGGCCCAGACUCCUACGGGAGGCAGCAGUGGGGAAUCUUCCGCAAUGGACGAAAGUCUGACGGAGCAACGCCGCGUGAGUGAUGACGGCCUUCGGGUUGUAAAGCUCUGUUAAUCGGGACGAAAGGCCUUCUUGCGAAUAGUGAGAAGGAUUGACGGUACCGGAAUAGAAAGCCACGGCCAACUACGUG
rnacentral:rRNA from 1 species